rnacentral:rRNA from 1 species
GCUGGCGGCGUGCUUAACACAUGCAAGUCGAACGAUGAAGCCUAGCUUGCUAGGUGGAUUAGUGGCGCACGGGUGAGUAAUAUAUAGAUAACGUGCCUCUUAGUCUGGGAUAGCCAUUGGAAACGAUGAUUAAUACUAGAUACUCCUUCUCUAUCAAAUUAGAGUCGGGAAAGUUUUUCGCUAAGAGAUCGGUCUAUAUCCCAUCAGCUAGUUGGUAGUGUAAGAGACUACCAAGGCAAUGACGGGUAGCGGGUUUGAGAGGAUGAUCCGCCACACUGGUACUGAGACACGGACCAGACUCCUACGGGAGGCAGCAGUGAGGAAUAUUGCACAAUGGAGGAAACUCUGAUGCAGCAACGCCGCGUGGAGGAUGACGCAUUUCGGUGUGUAAACUCCUUUUAUAUGUCAAGAAAAUGACGGUAGCAUAUGAAUAAGCACCGGCUAACUCCGUGCCAGCAGCCGCGGUAAUACGGAGGGUGCAAGCGUUAUUCGGAAUCACUGGGCGUAAAGGACGCGUAGGCGGGAUGCCAAGUCUGAUGUGAAAUCCUAUGGCUUAACCAUAGAACUGCAUUGGAAACUGGUAACCUAGAGUAUGGGAGGGGGAGAUGGAAUUAGUGGUGUAGGGGUAAAAUCCGUAGAUAUCACUAGGAAUACCGAAAGCGAAGGCGAUCUCCUGGAACAAUACUGACGCUAAGGCGUGAAAGCGUGGGGAGCAAACGGGAUUAGAUACCCCGGUAGUCCACGCCCUAAACGAUGUUCACUAGUCGUCGGGAUGCUAGUCAUCUCGGUGAUGCACUUAACAGAUUAAGUGAACCGCCUGGGGAGUACGGUCGC